GACGAACGCUGGCGGCGUGCCUAAUACAUGCAAGUUGAGCGCUGAAGGUUGGUACUUGUACCGACUGGAUGAGCAGCGAACGGGUGAGUAACGCGUGGGGAAUCUGCCUUUGAGCGGGGGACAACAUUUGGAAACGAAUGCUAAUACCGCAUAAAAACUUUAAACACAAGUUUUAAGUUUGAAAGAUGCAAUUGCAUCACUCAAAGAUGAUCCCGCGUUGUAUUAGCUAGUUGGUGAGGUAAAGGCUCACCAAGGCGAUGAUACAUAGCCGACCUGAGAGGGUGAUCGGCCACAUUGGGACUGAGACAAGGCCCAAACUCCUACGGGAGGCAGCAGUAGGGAAUCUUCGGCAAUGGACGAAAGGCUGACCGAGCAACGCCGCGUGAGUGAAGAAGGUUUUCGGAUCGUAAAACUCUGUUGGUAGAGAAGAACGUUGGUGAGAGUGGAAAGCUCAUCAAGUGACGGUAACUACCCAGAAAGGGACGGCUAACUACGUG
rnacentral:rRNA from 1 species